CAUAGGAUACUUUUACAAGCACCUUAGGGAAAGUUAACAAUGUAAUUCUGCUAUGACCAGGAUUGCUUUGUUGAAGAUAACUGUCAAGGAUUGGAAACAAAUCUCUAUACUCUCUCAAACUCAGCUUUUAGAGUCUAUUUCUAGUGAUGGAAAUCCGGAGCCAACUGUAUGUCCAAGAGCAGUAGAUUGAUUGUGCACAUUUAACCAGGUUGUAUUGAAACAUUAUAUGGAUGUUAACAUGACAUGAAGCUUAUGAUCAUAUCAAGAAACAUUUUCUUUAAAUUAUUAUGCCUAUUAACACGUAUUAACUGUACAGAUUAAUGUGUUUCGGAAUGAUAUUUCCACAUGUGUAUAUAUCAUUCACUCAUCAUGGCUCAACUUUAUUCCUUUUCAGUUCCUCUUUUCCAGAUUCUAAUUAACUUAAAGGAGUGGAGACUAAAGAAAAAAUUCAAUGUGGUCUUAAGGAAAGCUAAGACACAAACUUGUAUUUGAGCACUGCUUCUAUGUACACAGACCAUGAUUUUAGAACUGUGACUUCAGGAAAUGACUGGAAACCAAAGGUGAAUCAGAAGAAAAGCUAUAACUCAUACUGGCAAAUGAUUUAGAUAUCUGACAGAAGACAUAGAUGGAAGGACAAUGUACCACAGCCGCCAAAACCAAGGAGGGUAAGGCACUGGGAGUCAGGAAGGUCAACUGAGAUGCAAAACGAGUGGAGAAGGCAUAGAGGGAGCCUCCCUUGGGUGGUCUAACCAGGACGAAGACCUCAUUAGGCACUCCCUGAUACAGGUUCCAUGUCUGAAAGGCCUGCAAGCUUCUACACCAGGGCCACCAGCCAGGAUCAAGUGUUCCAGCUUCCUGGGGAUAUUUCACAUCCAAACCACAGCACAGAAUUGUGAAAG
ensembl:lncRNA